rnacentral:sRNA from 1 species
UCCAUUGAUUAGGCCUCAUAUUAUAGAGC